CUGCACUUUCCCCCUUCUCCUCCUCAGCGGAGGAUAGCUCAAGGCUCUUGCUUUCGUUCGUUAAAAAUAAAUACUACAGAAGUUGGCAAAUUUUGUAGUUUUAGAGAAGUGGAUUCUCUCCAGGAUUAACGUAAAAAAUGUUGAUGUUUGAGGAACUACUCUUUCUCAACCCGUAAAUAAAGUGGAGAUGUUGACAGUUUGUCUAGCCUCUGAUCUUCACUUGAAGACGGCGAAGGACAGUUAGUGGAAGGCUCUGAAUUGCCCGUAUUUGGCCAGGGAUCACUUCAGUGGACAGUUAAUGAAAGAGCAGAGGGAACUUGAAGGGAAGCCUUCCCUUACUGAGAAGCACAUGCUGCCCUGUGGCACUUCGUCAUGGAAUGCGAGCCUGAAGCAUACACAUCUGAAUUCACAGAAUAUUCUGAAUUGGAA
rnacentral:lncRNA from 1 species